rnacentral:lncRNA from 1 species
UUUAGCACCACAAAAUCUCAUCCUGAAAUCCAGAAAUCAAGACAGAGAACCAGUACUAAUCCAAAACAAAUAACUGAAUAAUUGAAAUAAAUUAUGAAAUAUGUACCAUCUGUUACAAUCAAUCUAACUGUUGUUGCGGCGGCAUCUCUGAACCUGUAAAUAAAAUAAAAUAUAUGUAUAUUAGAUUUAUUGAUAUAUUACUCAUAAUAUUGAAUAAAAGAAAUGGUCAAACCUUGGAUUGUAUGACUAUCAUCCUCUGAACUUGAAGAUGAUGUUGCACCUUCAUUGUUGGGAGAAUCUCUACAUAAAAGCCAAAAUAACAACAGUCAUUUAAAGAUUGAGAUAGUUUAAAUUUUUUACUAUUACUUACCGAUGUGCAACUAUUGGACAAUUUCUUUUGUCAUGUGAUUGUCCAAAUUUCCCACAACCAUGACAACGUCUAGCCCUUGAGUUCUUGGCCUUUCCUAAUGCCCUUUCUUUCCCUUCUUUAAGUCUUUUGCCACAUCCUUUUGCUCUCACUUGAUUUGGUUCAUUGUACAUAUGGUCUUUAUCAAGACUCAUCUUCCUAGAGAGCACACUUCCACAAGAUUGUGAACUUUUACCACUAUCUGCAACAAGAUUGAUUGAUUCGAGUAAACUAGGGGUGUAAACGGUAUUAAACGGAUACGGAUACAGGUAUAUCCAUAUCCGUAUCCGGAAAAUUAAUUCGCUAUCCGUAUCCGUAUCCGGUAUCCGGCGGAUUUUAAAAAUAUUAUCCGUAUCCGAUAUUCGGAAAAAUAUUCGAAUACGAAUAAUAUCCGUUACCGUUUAUUUUAUCCGAAUAGACAAAUUAUUCGGAUAUCCGAAUAUCCAAAUUCGUUUAUCAGUAACCUAAUAUAAAAUUCAUUCAAAAUAUUUACGAAAAAAAAUAUUAAAGUUUAAAUCAUACAUAUUAAUUAAACACAAUUUAAUAUUUAAACCAUACAUAUUAAUUAAAUAUCCUAAUCAUAAAGGGAGGAACAUGCUAAUUGACGUUUUGGGUGAAAAUAAAAAGAUUCAAUAAUGUAACCGAUACUUUGUUUGAUGGAUCAAAUUGAAAUUAAAAUCUCAAUAUUAUUCUUUCAAAUUUUAUUAAAUAAUAAAAAAGAGAAAUAAAUUAAUAUUUAAUAAAUGAAUAGUAAUAUUUAUGGGAGAUUUAUUUAUUAUUUAUCCUCAAUAAAUAAAUUACAUGGUUAUAAGAAAUUAUUUGAUUUCAUUAUAUUUAUGGAGAGUGCGAGUUAUAAUGUAUGUGUGACAACUAGUUAAUCUAACUUGAUUCAAAAUUGACAUUGAACUUAUUUUACAUAUUUGGACUUCUAGUUUCUAAAUAAUUAGGCAAAUGAAAGUGAUAAAUACUCUCUCCACCCAAAAAUUCAUAAACGUGAAUUAAUUUAUUUAACUCUCCCUUCUAGAUUAAUUUUAAAUUAAUUCAGACCUAACACAUUUUAACAAUAAAAUUAUAUUGUCCAUUGCUCCCGCCUCUCGACCGUUGUCCUUAAACGUGUGUGUAUAUAUAUAUAAAUAUAUAUUAAUAGCUUAUAUAAAUGAAUGUAAGUGAUUAAUUAAUGAAUGUAAGUUAUUAAUAUAUAUGUGUGUGUGUAUAUUGUAUAUAUAUAUAUAUAUAUAUAUAUAUAUAUAUAUAUAUAUAUGUAAGUUAUUAAUUAAUUAAUGCAAGUUAUUAAUAUAUAUGUGUGUAUAUAUAUAAUAACUUAUAUAUAUAAAUGUAUAUGUAAGUUAUUAAUUAAUGAAUAUAAGUUAAAGUGAUUAAUUAAUGAAUCUAAGUUAUGAUUUAUUAAUAUAUAUAUAUAUACACACACACGUAUAUAUUAAUAACUUAUAUAAAUAAAUGUAAGUGAUUAAUCAAUGAAUGUAAGUUAUUAAUAAAUACAUAUAUAUUAUAUAUAUAUAUAUAUAUUAAAUUAUUAACAACUUAUAUAGGUAAAUUAUUAAUUAAUAAUUUACAUUAAUUAAUAACUUAAUUAAUGUAAAUAUUAAGUGUGUGUGUGUGUGUGUAUAUAUAUAUAUAUAUAUAUAUAAGUUAUUCGGAUACGGAUUCCAGAUAUCGAAAUUCGGAUAUCCAUAUCCGCCGGAUAUAUUUACGGACGGAUGUUAAUCGAAUACGAAUACGCCUAUAUCCGUAUUCGUAUCCGUUUAUUUACAUCCACCUUUAAACCGAAUACGGAUAUAUCCAUUCUUUUUCCGAAUACGAAUAAUAUCCGCUUUUUUUCGAAUACGGAUGCGGACGAAUACGAAUUUUCCGGUUACCAUUUACAGCCCUAGAGUAAACGAGCCAAAGCAUCUUUAUACAUAUUAAUUCCUUCUUGGCUUGUGAGGGCGAUAUUAAUAACAUCCAAAGAACAUUGGAUUAAUUCACUCCGCUUGAUUAGAUAUUCUUUGUCACUAUUUAUCAUUAUACCACUUCCAUUAUCAACCACUAUCACAGAGUUUGCUUUCUUAGUCCACCUUUUCAAGAUGUAUUGUUGGGGCAAUUCGUCAAAAUCAUGCAUUUUGAGCAAGUAACCAAACACAUGUCUACAUGGUAUCCCCAUACUCUUAAACUUGUGGCAACUACAUGAAGCAAAACCCAAUCCUUUGUCAUAAAUAAGUUGUCACACUCUUUGUGUGAAUUUUCUUCUUCUUUGAACUUGAAAUAUGCAUUGAUUGUCACUCUCCGUGAUAAGCUCAAAACGGUAAUUCAAGCAUUCUCAUAUCUCAAGUUCAAAUUUGUAAAACAUUUCCCGAGUAUAAAUUUCAACCAUUUGGAAUAGAAAGUCAUGAUUCAUCUUCACUUUAGGCUUCUCAAUCAAAUCUUUGUGAUCGGCCAACAACUCUUCCUGACGUUGGCGUACUAGCCCCCUAUUAAAUUGGAUCAUGAAAUCAACUAAUGAAUUAUUCUUAGAAACAUAUCUUUUGAAAAAAGCGUGAGAGCUUUCCGCUCGUUGGCUACUUGACAUAUUGGCUGAGAAAACAUGAUUACAAUAAGCUGGCACCCAAUUUGUACGAAUGUCAUACAUUGUUUGUAACCAUUUGUUGUCAUGUAACCCGCUCCUCCCAACAAGCUCUGUCCAAGUCAAAUCAAACUCUUCUUUAGACUCUGAAUUCCAAAUACAAUUGGCAAAUUCAUUAUAGUGAGCAUUAUACUUCACUGAGUCUAAUUUUUCUGAAAAUUUUGUCAAUAUGUGCCAACUACAGAAUCUAUGAAAAGUAUCCGGAAGAGUUUCUAAUAUUGCUUUGGACAUCGCGGGAUCUUGAUUAGUAAUGAUCAUUUUAGGGGCAUCACCUGGCAUAGCCUCUAAAAAUUGGUUGAAUAGCCAAACAAAUGAAUUCGAGGUCUCGUCACUUAAGAAUGCACAAGCAAAAAUUAUGGUUUGACCAUGUUUGUUGACUCCCAUCAGUGGUGCAAAAAUUAGCCCAUAUCGAUUGGUGUUGUAUGUAGUAUCGAAGACGACUACAUCACCAUAAAAAUUAUAUGCCCUUCUAGAGGUAGCAUCAGCCCAAAAAUAAUGUGUUAUCCUCUGUUCAUUAUCGACCCUAAUUUUAUAAUUGAAUGAUGGAUUCUUGCCCUUUUUUAAUUUGCAAAACUCACUAAACAUUUCUCUGUCAUGCCCCUUCAACUCAUUACGUCUAUCCCUUUCAUAAUUAUAUAAAUCUGUUUGUGUACACCCAAUGUUUUCAAACCCUCCAGCCUGUACUUAGUCCUGGAAAACGGGCCCAAAGCCCGCAGGCCGGCCCGGCCCGGCCGCCAAAACCCGGGCUUUGGGCCGCCAUUUUUAAGCCCAUGAAAACCUGGGCCGUUUUGGCCAGGCCCGCGGGCGCCCGACCCGCCCGCCAACCAUUAAAUUUAUUAUUUUUUUUUAAAUAAAGUGUUAGGUUGUGAGGCUUGAACACAAGACUUGUAAGUAAAUAAAUAAGAGUUCAAACCAACUGAGCUACAACAACUAUUUGUUUUUAAUGUAAUCUUCAAUAUAUUGUAACUAUAAUUGAAAAAAUUAUAAUUAAGAUAUGUAGUUAAUGUAAUUUAAACAACAAAUUCAAAUCCAAAUUAUCAUCAUAAAUAAUGUAGGUAAUUAAUUAAUAAUACUAAUUUACUCAUAACGGUGGAAUGUCUCCACUCCACAAUGCUAUAUAUCUGAAUCUUGAUGAAAUAAUUACAAUUGCGAUAUUACAUUUCUGAAAAUUGAAUAACUACAUAUGUUAUUGACCCAAUGUGUAACUACUGCUGAUAUCCCGCAUCACUGGAGGCGUAUAAGCUUCUUGGUUCAAAAUGUUACUACUGGGCAAUGCAACUACCUGCUGGUGUAAAUAUGGGAAAAUAAUAAAUGAAAAGAAGAAAUCACUAGUAUAAGCACCGACACUCUUAUACAAAAAUUAGUGCACUUCUUGCAUUGGUUAUUCUAAUACGAUAGCUUUAUUCUUUUCAGUUUGUACAUGUUGCACACAGAAAGCAAGGACCCAUUUCUCUCGUACCGUAAUUUAUAAUACUAUUAAAAUUUUAAUUAAUUGAGAUAUGUAGUUAGUGUAUGUAAUUAAUUAAUUGUGUUUGUUUGUAUUAUUAUUUAUUAUAAAUUAUUUUAUUAUUUUUAAUAUUUAUUAUUAUUAUUAUUUUUGGUGUAACAAAGAGUGUACAAAAAAAAAAAUUAAUGGCCGAAGCCCGCGGGCCGGCCCGCCCGCCCGCCACGGGCUGGCCAUUUUCAGCCCACCAAAACCCGGGCCUUUUUGGCCCGGCCCGGCCGUUUUCCAGGUCUACCUGUACUCCAAGGAAAUUGAAUUGUUGAUGUGAGGGUAUGUUUAUCAUGGAAAGUUGUUGAGUCAAACACUUUUGCGCACUCGAAACACUUCGGUGAGAUCUUAAUAGAUGUUUCUUUGAUGGAGUUGCCAAUGGAUGACUAUGACCCUCAUUAAAUUGGGUGACUACAUAAGCCUCAGAAUUUAUUUUCAACAUAGCUACUAUUGCUUUACAACUCUCUUCUAUCGAUCCCCGACGUCUUUUAGUUUCAACAUCCGAAAUUGUUUUUCCCUUACCUUGUUUAAAACAGACAAAUUCUUUCCUUUUGACUUCGUCGCUUCCUUCAAAUUUCUUAGUAGCCCAACUUCGAAUACUAAAUCCCGCCUCUUUAGCAUAUGCAUUGUAAAAAUCCCUAACUUCAUCCAUUGUUUUGAAUUCUUUUCGAACACUAGGUUUGAGAUGAUCGGCUACUUGUGGAUUAUAGAUAAAAGUUUUCCUACCUUCAUCACUCUCCCCUUUAAUUCUAUUAUUCUCUACUUCCUUUUCAUUAUUGUCAACAUUAUCACCACAUUCAUCACUACCCCGUACUUCAUCCUCUAAGUUAGCAUCCAUCCCUACAGUUAAAAAAAACAAACAACAUUUAAGUCCGGACAACAACAAUUUGAAGAACAUUGAGAAUUGCAUAUUUCUUCUAUGUUUCUUUGUCAGAAGCAUAUUUAACUUAUUUUUUCUCAUAUGGUCAGUAAGUUCUCAGUACAUCAUAGUAGACACCCAAAAUGGAAAUUUACUGUAACUUCAAUGGAAAUAACAAAUCUAAGCAUAUGGUCAGUAAGUUUAAUGGAAAUUUACUGUAACUUGCCUCAUAGCAAACACCCAAAAUACAAAAAAAAAACACAGAUACAAGAUUAUCGGCCAAAAUCCAAUAAACAACUCCAAUUAAACAAAUAUUGGAAAAAAAUCUGUUUAAAACUAUCAAAGUUUGGUGAAAAUUUAUAUUUUAGGAGAGAAUCUCACUGAACUUACUAUUUGCAAACCCUAGCUUCAAGGGGCUUUGAGAGAUAAUCCAAUAUCGAAGUUUUCCCUUUCGCGAAUCUAGCUUCACCUUUGUUGGCAGAGUGAGAAUCGGUUUGAGAGAUAAACCUUUGUUGGUUUGAGAGAGAAUCGAGCGCUAAGGGCAGAGUAAGAGAGAAGCUAGAAUCAGUAUGAAUCGCCCUUUUGCGAGAGUCAAUUUUGAAAGGGUUUUCGACUGGCAGAGUUGGUUUUCAGAUCUGCACGAAUGGGUUCAGAAAGAGAGAAGAAGAGGAAGGGGGAGUCUUUUGACCCGCGUGCUUCAUUUGACC